GGAACUCUUCAUGUGAGUUCAAAAAUUAACAAACAGGCACAUGAGGCAGGCAGACCUACGCCGCCCCACUGUAAUAGCUGGUCGUUGUCUGUGGGCGGAUGCACCAAAGGUUGAAGAUGAACUGCAAAGCUGGGUGGCUGGGGGUGAGGAGCUCUCGUCAGUACAAUUCCCAGCGCCUGCUGUAGGAGGCCAAAGAAGAAACGGAUGGCUGCAGGGUUUCCUGCUGACUUGGAACUUGCCAAGAAAAUGAGGCUGACCGACCAGUGAGUUCAGGGAUUUACCUGUCUCUGUGCCCCAGCACUGGGAUUACAAGUGUGGGUUCUGAGGGUGGAACUCAAGUCCUCAUGCUUAUAAAAGAAGCACUUUACUGACCGAGCCACCUACUGGUGGGCCUUUGAAGUUUAUAGCGUGGCUCCUGUUUAUGGUCUCAGACUCUUACUGUAUGCCGUGAUGUUCAUCCUCACCACAGAGUUCUGCUGCCAUGGAUUGCUCUACUGCUGUUCCUUCCCAGCCAUUACAGACUGAAAUUCUCAUGAGCCAAAAUAAACUUUCUCUCCCUUGA